AAUAGAUACCCGGGUAGUCCACCCCGUAAACGUUGGGAACUAGUUGUGGGGUCCUUUCCACGGAUUCCGUGACGCAGCUAACGCAUUAAGUUCCCCGCCUGGGGAGUACGGCCGCAAGGCUAAAACUCAAAGGAAUUGACGGGGACCCGCACAAGCGGCGGAGCAUGCGGAUUAAUUCGAUGCAACGCGAAGAACCUUACCAAGGCUUGACAUACACCGGAAACGGCCAGAGAUGGUCGCCCCGCAAGGUCGGUGUACAGGUGGUGCAUGGUUGUCGUCAGCUCGUGUCGUGAGAUGUUGGGUUAAGUCCCGCAACGAGCGCAACCCUCGUUCUAUGUUGCCAGCACGUAAUGGUGGGAACUCAUGGGAUACUGCCGGGGUUCAACUCGGAGGAAGGUGGGGAUGACGUCAAAUCAUCAUGCCCCGUUAUGUCUUGGGCUUCACGGCAUGCUACAAUGGCCGGUACAAAGGGCUGCAAUACCGUGAGGUGGAGCGAAUCCCGAAAAGCCGGUUCCCAGUUCGGAUUGAGGUCUGCAACUCGACCUCA
rnacentral:rRNA from 1 species